rnacentral:tRNA from 1 species
UCGGGAUAGCUCAGUUGGUAAAGCAAAGGACUGAAAAUCCUCGUGUCACCAGUUCAAAUCA